rnacentral:misc_RNA from 1 species
CUGCUUGCUAGUGGCGCUGCCUUGGGAAACCAAAGCCGCGUCAGGCAUGCUAUCCUUGUCUAUACAUACCCUUUUGUUAUUUCCCUCGGUAGGGCAACCUGCCGCUGGGGACAAUUAAACCCUCUGUAUCAAGUAUCAAAUCAUAUGAAAUAAUUUUAAAUAAUUA